CCUACGGGAGGCAGCAGUGGGGAAUUUUGCGCAAUGGACGGAAGUCUGACGCAGCAACGCCGCGUGGGUGAUGAAGGUCUUCGGAUUGUAAAACCCUGUCGCCAGGGACGAAGGUGCGCUCGUGAAUAGCGGGUGUGCUUGACGGUACCUGGAAAGGAAGCCCCGGCUAACUCUGUGCCAGCAGCCGCGGUAAUACAGAGGGGGCAAGCGUUAUUCGGAAUUAUUGGGCGUAAAGGGUUCGUAGGCGGUGCGGUAAGUCGGAAGUGAAAUCUCUGGGCUUAACUCAGAGGCUGCUUUCGAAACUGCCGUGCUAGAGUGCGGGAGAGGCGAGUGGAAUUACAGGUGUAGCGGUGAAAUGCGUAGAUAUCUGUAGGAACACCCGUGGCGAAAGCGGCGCGCUGGACCACUACUGACGCUGAGGAACGAAAGCUAGGGGAGCAAACAGGAUUAGAUACCCUGGUAGUCCUAGCCCUAAACGAUCAGGACUUGGGGUGCCGCACGUUCGUGCGUCGUCCCGGAGCUAACGCGUUAAGUCCUGCACCUGGGGAGUACGGUCGCAAGACUGAAACUCAAAGGAAUUGACGG
rnacentral:rRNA from 1 species